CAACAACCGCCCAAGGGCUGAGGAGUGCGGGCGCACAGCGUGGGACUGGCAGACAGCUCCACCUGCAGCCCCCGGGCGGGAUCCACUGAGUGAAGCCAGCUGGGCUCUUGAGUCUGGUGGGGACUUGGAGAAUCUUUAUGUCUAGCUAAGGGAUUGUAAAUACACCAAUCAGCACUCUGUAUCUAGCUCAAGGUUUGUAAAUGCACCAAUCAGCACUCUGUGUCUAGCUGAUCUGGUGGGGACUUGGAGAACAUUUAUGUCUAGCUAAGGGAUUGUGAAUACACCAAUCAGCACUCUGUAUCUAGCUCAAGGUUUGUAAAUGCACCAAUCAGCACCCUGUGUCUAGCUAAUCUGGUGGGGACUUGGAGAACCUUUGUGUCUAGCUCAGGAUUGUAAACGCACCAAUCAGCACCCUGUCAAAACAGACCAAUCAGCUCUCUGUAAAACAGACCAAUCAGCUCUCUGUAAAAUGGGCCAAUCAGCAGGAUGUGGGUGGAGCCAGAUAAGGGAAGAAAAGCAGGCUCUCCGAGCUAGCGGUGGCAAUCUGUUAGGGUUUGUGUCUGUCGUGUGGAAGCUUUGUUCAUUCGUCUUUUGCAAUAAAUCUUGCUACUGCUCAGUCUUUGGGUCCACACUGCUUUUAUGAGCUGUAGCAGUCACCACGAAGGUCUGCAGCUGCACUCCUGAGGCUAGCGAGACCACGAACCCACCGGGAGGAGCGAACGACUCCAGACGCGCUGACUUAAGAGCUGUAACAGCUUACCGCUAAGGUCUGCAGCUUCACUCCUGAGCCAGAGAGACCAGGAACCCACCUAGAAGGAACAAACUCCGGACAUGCCGCCUUUAAGAGCUGUAACACUCACCGCCAGGGUCCGCAGCUGCAUUCUUGAAGUCAGUGAGACCAAGAACCCACCAAUUCCAGACACACUGUCAUCAAAAAGUGGGAUAUCUUUUUAAACAGAGAUAACAUUGCAGAAUCUUGGAGUUGGAAAUAGACCUCAGCUGGGGUUUAGUCCUGUUUUCUCCUCAGAGCAGAAGUCCUGGGAUGCCGUUCUGGACUGAUUGUCAGUUUUUUCUCCUGUCCUUGAGCUAUUCUAAUGCCAGACAUCUGUGGCUUUACACAGCCAGGCUUUCAGUUAGAGAACUUGGUUAGCUCAGGUCAACAAAUGCUGCUCUGAGAACACUGACUCCCAUGUGGGGAGACUCUGCACCUGGAGCUCCGGGAGAGCCGGCUCAGGCCUCUUCCUGCUAUCCAGGGAACUGCAGUGGCGUUGGAGGGCCUUGCUGGGGCUGGGGCUGGGGAGAAGGGAUUCCAACCCUACUGAUAAUUCGUUUGGAAACACCGGGCUGUGGAUUUCAGAAGUUCUUGGGCAGCCUGAUUACCACUGGCAGUGAGCCGGGGACGAAGCCGAAGCUAUGAGUGACAGACGGAAAGAACUGGGGGCUUUGGUGAACCAGAGAACACUUAGCUCCUCCAGCCCUGAAGCAGGCGUCACCGCAGGGCUUAUGGUCCUAAGAGCCACUUAGUUUCCUUAUUCAUUAAACUAGUUUAAUUUGGGUUUUCUGCAUCCUGGAGGACACCAAGUCGGUGUGCGGAGGGACCCUGUAGACACGUGUGCAAAGAAUAAGCCGACGAUCAUGGAAUUUCUGAUGACGCCACUGACACGUGGGAUGGAGGCCUCCUUCCCAGGGCACCCCUACACUCAUGACAAUGAAUCCUGGCUCUUAUUCACCCCUUUGGAUUUCACAAGCAAGUACGGUAUGGCACUUUGAGGUGAAAUAUGGCUCUAUUUAAUGUCACUGGUUUCUUGAAGCUCUGAGUUUUCUGGGACCACAAGUUUUACUUGAAGAUGUGCAGGAAUGUAGAUAGCCAAAUGCAUGUGGCCAUCCCAAGACCUAUGUGUUCUUGGAAGAUUUUGCCAAUGUUUCCCCCCAAUUUUGCUGCAGCACGAAACAUUUCUGAAGUUCAACUUCAGGGAUUAUAUUGAGGAUCACUUUACACGUCACAUAAGAAAAUAACUUUCUUCUUCAGCUUAGGAGUCAAUUGUGAUAUUGAUAGGAUUUUUAGCACCUCUCUUGGUACAAAAGAGGAAGGAGAAUUAAGCCUAUAGUGCAGGCAAAUAAAUGAUUGCAAUAAGGAAAUCCGUGGACCAACCAGAAUGUGGGCUUCCUCAGUGACUACAGAAAUUACCAGGAAAAUGGAAGAGAAAUGGGCCCAGGUAAUGACAGUGCUUUCAAGCUGUCCCAGUCAAUAAAAAUGCUUGAUAAAUGGUUUCUCAGCCUUGCCAUUGGGAAAAGGAGAGAAGGAACUACUCUGGCUGUUACUCCCUACACCUUCCUUAUCCCCAGUACUGUGGCCCAUGCCUCAAGUUCUGUGGACAAUAAGAAACAAACAGCAACAAAACAUAUCAACUCGAGCUUUUGGACGUGAGGGCCAGAUAUAUGGUUGAAGCCUGGAAAGCAAAGGGAAUAAAGAAAUAAAAAGACAUAAAAUAUGAACCCACAUGUCCUCUAAAGUCUUUAUGUUUCAGAAUAAUCCUUUUUGUUUCUUUAAAUUCCAGAACCUGUACUCCCUUCCUUUUUCCCUCCUAAGAGUACAGGCCUGAAGGAGCUAUAGGUGAGCUUUCUGAAAAGAAGCACCCUCUGCUUUACAUUAUGGCCCUGCAAUAGGAACGAGCUCUCCAGUGGGCACACAAACCCAGGCGCGGUCCCCAUGAGGUCACUCUUCUGCUUGGCCUCCACCAUGAGCC
rnacentral:lncRNA from 1 species